CUUUUAUUUUUGCAUAAUAAUCGUUUAAAGUUAUAAAUUGUUGUUAAAUCGCUCAAUUAAAUUGUUGUGAAAAGAUUGUGUUACAAAUAUCACUAAUUUUUGUGAAUUUUGUCAAAAAUUAAUGGACUUGUCAAUGGAAAAUCGUAAUUUUGUUAUAAAAUAUAAACAAAUGAUAGUGAAAAUUAUCGUUUGAACGUCUAAGAAAAAACUGGAACAUAGAAAAAAAUGACUCAAUUGGAUUGUCAUUCGAGACAAAAUUAUUUUUGAGUAAAUUGCUACCUAAUUUAUUCAUGAUAGAAAAACUAAUCUUGUUGAAGUAUCCAAAAGUUUCAAUGAUGUAGAAAAUUAUAAAACAUAACACUUUUAAAAAAAAGUUACUGCGCAGUUUAAAACCAUUGAGACAAUUGAGGCUACUUGUAUGCUAAAAUAUAACAUGAAACAUACAAAGUAAAAGAUGAUAUUGUUGAAAGUGUCAUAAUGUACUUGGAUUUUAAUUUGUCUUUCCAAGUGCUAAAAAGUAAGAGUAAGAAACAAGGAUGGGCAGAAAUUACAAGAUCUUGGAUAUACUUAUUGAACGAAAAGAAAGAUAUGCUUGGAUAUUUUAAAGUUGAACAAACACUAGUUCGUUUACAAUCCCGAAUGUCCACAAGUAAACGAUAAUUAUUAUUAUUUAUUCGUUUGUUUUUGUCAUAUAAGAUUAAAUUGUCGAUAAAAUGUGAUUGUCAUUCACAAAUUUGUGGGUAUCAAUAGAAAAUUUUAAGUAUAAUAAAAAAAUAUAAAAAUAAUUUUCAAAACCUGUAAUAACAAUA